rnacentral:sRNA from 1 species
AUAGGUAGGACGUGUCGGCU